UACGGAGGGUGCAAGCGUUAUCCGGAUUCACUGGGUUUAAAGGGUGCGUAGGUGGGUAGGUAAGUCAGCGGUGAAAUCCCCGAGCUUAACUUGGGAACUGCCAUUGAUACUAUCUGUCUUGAAUACCUUGGAGGUGAGCGGAAUAUGUCAUGUAGCGGUGAAAUGCUUAGAUAUGACAUAGAACACCAAUUGCGAAGGCAGCUCACUACACGGUCAUUGACACUGAGGCACGAAAGCGUGGGGAUCAAACAGGGA
rnacentral:rRNA from 1 species